UUGACAAUCCCGCCUCAACAAAUGCCUAUAGGAUCCGAUAAUGACACAAUUGAGGAUGUUGAUGAAACGAGAAUGUCCUCUGCUAUACCUAGCGAUGUUGAUCCAUUAGACUUUGUCUACACAAACAUCCCAGACACCACUCACGUCCUGAAACUAGACGCAAACUGCAAACACUGCAAAGCCAAAAAGUUUGUAUCUGAUACUGAUGGGUUCCGCUGUCGCAAUGGACAGAUCGAACUUAAACAA
rnacentral:rRNA from 1 species